GGCGGAGUCAUGUGACGCCGAUCCCUCGAAGAGCCCGUUUCAGCAGCGCGGACAGGGACACACGCACGCAGCCCCGCCGAGGCGCAGAGCCGCACGCAAGCUGCACCUUGGCGCCUCCUCCUCCCCCUCCCUGGACAAACACCACACACACACACACACACACACACACACACACACACACACACACACACGCCUCGUCCUCCCUCCCUGUCCUCCUCUUCUCCACUUCGAGUGUUCUAAACCAAAUCAGAUCAAUUUUCGUUCAACCCAAUGGAACCCCGGAGACUCACCAUCCCCGGAGUUUGCGUUCUUUGCGCCCCGCCGCGGCGCACUCUAGACCUAGGGCAGAAACCUGAGUUUCACCUUUGGCCUCUUGGCAGUCUUUGGACUGGAAUCAAGCUCAAGGCUCCUGGAAGCUACUUAAUGAUUUUGGCCAAGGCAGUAUCAUUUAUGCGGCUGGUUUCUGCUUGGCUGCUGUGAGAGGUGCUAUAGAGAAGCCGGUCCGCUUGUGACUGUUCAAGGGAUUCUGAGAAAGACACACAUUGGGUUCACAGGGUGUGGAGACUGACACAAAUCUAGUAGCUGGGUUCAAUGAGUUACAAUCUACAAGGUCACAGCUCUAAUUUUAACAGGUGGUCAGCACAGCUAGUUGGCAGAUGAGAAGAGAAGCAGCUGAUGAGCAUGGGGACUCUGAGGGAAGCUGGUGUGCUCCUUUAAGGCAGUGUCCUGGUGGUGCAGGGACUAGCUAGGGCCCUGAACUCAGUUGCAGACAAAGAAGCAAACACGGCGUAGACAAAAGAGCAUCAUCUUGCUCAUGUGUUCCCAAGCUCUGAUGCCACUGGACUCAAACCGCCGAUGCUUGGCACACUCCCAGCUAUGGUUUGCACGUCUUCUCUCAAUUUAAUCAUCAUUGUUGUGGUAUUAAGAUGUGGGCCCUUAAAGAGGUGUUGUGCCAUGGGGAAUCUGCUCUUAUGAGCAGAUUAAUGCUGUUAUCAACGGGAGUAGGUUAAUCAUCACGGGCAUGGGCUCAUGGGAAAAUAAAUUGGUUUGACAUACAUUUCUCUGUCUCACACAUGCUUUCUUGCUUUCAUACCAUGUUAUGACCAACACAAAGGGCCUUUGCCAGAUGCUGGUACAUGGUUUGCCCUUUGUAGUCUCUAGAACCUUGAGUUGAAAUUCUGUUGUUUCUAAGUUACCCGCUCUGUGGCCUUCUGUCACAGCAGCCAAGAGUGAACUAAUUCAUUCCCUUUAUAUCCACACUGCACAGCGCCACGCAGUGACGUGGUCAUAAGACCACCCAGUCCACCCAAAGCCCAGAGCAAGAAUUCGUAGAUGACUGAGCCAGCUCUGUAGCUCACAAUAAGUGAAGAAGAAAUAAACGUGUCCCCAUGACCACAGUUGACAGAGGGCAGGAGGUAGUGCAUUCAUCAAAUGCAGUGAGCGUGUAUCAUUGUUUCCACCUGCCCCGGCAGGCUUAGCCUGAGCUCUUCUCAUCAGCUCGGUGGUGCUGGUGUCUCUGGUCUCAGUCUCUGCUGGUCUUCCCUAGACAAAAUGCUUCCUGUUGGAUUUGGCUAAAGAGGAGAAUUUUCCUGGACAAAGUGUGGAGAGAGGUUGGUGUUGCAACCUUCUUGCUUAGUGCUGUCCCUUUGCACUGU